UACGUAGGGGGCAAGCGUUGUCCGGAUUUAUUGGGCGUAAAGAGCGUGUAGGCGGUUAGGUAGGUCCGUUGUGAAAACUCGAGGCUCAACCUCGAGACGCCGAUGGAAACCAUCUAACUAGAGUCCGGAAGAGGAGAGUGGAAUUCCUGGUGUAGCGGUGAAAUGCGCAGAUAUCAGGAGGAACACCUGUGGUGUAGACAGCUUACUGGACCAUUUCUGACGCUGAGACACGAAAGCGUGGGUAGCAAACAGG
rnacentral:rRNA from 1 species